rnacentral:rRNA from 1 species
UACGAGGGGGGCAAGCGUUGUUCGGAAUUAUUGGGCGUAAAGGGUGCGUAGGCGGCCCUGUAAGUCUCGUGUGAAAUCUUCAAGCUCAACUUGGAGUCUGCACGGGAAACUGCAUGGCUGGAGUAUGGGAGAGGUGAGUGGAAUUCCUGGUGUAGCGGUGAAAUGCGUAGAUAUCAGGAGGAACACCUGUGGCGAAAGCGGCUCACUGGACCAUAACUGACGCUGAGGCACGAAAGCUAGGGGAGCAAACAGG